GACGAACGCUGGCGGCGUGCUUAACACAUGCAAGUCGAACGAAGUUGCGAACGGGUGAGUAACGCGUAGGUAACCUGCCUGGUAGCGGGGGAUAACUAUUGGAAACGAUAGCUAAUACCGCAUACUACCAGAUGGACCUGCGUUGUAUUAGCUAGUUGGUGAGGUAACGGCUCACCAAGGCAACGAUACAUAGCCGACCUGGGAGGAGGAACGGCCAAAUUGGGACGGCGACACGGCCCAGACUCCUACGGGAGGCAGCAGUUGGGAAUCUUCCGCAAUGGGCGAAAGUCUGACGGAGCAACGCCGCGUGAGUGAUGACGGCCUUCGGGUUGUAAAGCUCUGUUAAUCGGGACGCGGUACCGGAAUAGAAAGCCACGGCUAACUACGUGCCAGCAGCCGCGGUAAUAC
rnacentral:rRNA from 1 species